GGUCAACUAGGACUGCGGAAGGAUCAUUACCGAGUGCGGGUCUUUAUGGCCCAACCUCCCACCCGUGACUAUUGUACCUUGUUGCUUCGGCGGGCCCGCCAGCGUUGCUGGCCGCCGGGGGGCGACUCGCCCCCGGGCCCGUGCCCGCCGGAGACCCCAACAUGAACCCUGUUCUGAAAGCUUGCAGUCUGAGUGUGAUUCUUUGCAAUCAGUUAAAACUUUCAACAAUGGAUCUCUUGGUUCCGGCAUCGAUGAAGAACGCAGCGAAAUGCGAUAACUAAUGUGAAUUGCAGAAUUCAGUGAAUCAUCGAGUCUUUGAACGCACAUUGCGCCCCCUGGUAUUCCGGGGGGCAUGCCUGUCCGAGCGUCAUUGCUGCCCUCAAGCCCGGCUUGUGUGUUGGGCCCUCGUCCCCCGGCUCCCGGGGGACGGGCCCGAAAGGGCAGCGGCGGCACCGCGUCCGGUCCUCGAGCGUAUGGGGCUUCGUCUUCCGCUCCGUAGGCCCGGCCGGCGCCCGCCGACGCAUUUAUUUGCAACUUGUUUUUUUCCAGGUGACCUCGGAUCAGGUAGGGAUACCCGCUGAACUUAAGCAUAUCAAUAAGCGGAGGAAAAGAAACCAACCGGGAUUGCCUCAGUAACGGCGAGUGAAGCGGCAAGAGCUCAAAUUUGAAAGCUGGCUCCUUCGGGGUCCGCAUUGUAAUUUGCAGAGGAUGCUUCGGGUGCAGCCCCCGUCUAAGUGCCCUGGAACGGGCCGUCAUAGAGGGUGAGAAUCCCGUAUGGGGCGGGGUGUCUGCGUCCGUGUGAAGCUCCUUCGACGAGUCGAGUUGUUUGGGAAUGCAGC
rnacentral:rRNA from 1 species